AUUUUCAUUAAUGUGUUAAAAGCCGACCGAUCUCAAAUUAAUAUGUAGGAAUUUUCUGCAAUUUCAGAUUAUUUUUGUGACCGUUAUUUGAUAAUUGACGGUAAAUUUGUGAGUUUAGAAUAAGUUUCUCAUCUUGGCAAUAGAUGGCACUUUAGCUGUGUCUUAGUCGCACAUUUGCUUCAUAGAAUUCCAGUGAAUUCAAUCUGUUUUAUAGUAUGUUGAUCUUCGUCAAAUAAUUUACAUUGCUUAUGCAUGGAUCAAAUAGACAACAGAACUAGACUAAGAUGCUGCUCUUGACCUAUGAUUUCAGCUGUCUGACAUAAGCAUAUUUUCAAGAUUACCAUGGAUGAAAUCAUGUACAAACUUUGUUCUUCACAUUAAUUAUUUUCUUAAUAAUUAUUUUUUCUUUUGUUAUUAUGUUCGAAAUUACCAAUGAAUUUUAUUUAUAGAUUUGUUAUUAAGUUCGCAAUUACUAAUGAAUUUUAUUUAUGAACUAGAAGUUCCUCAAAAGAAGAUUGUUUAAUUAGGGUUCCUUAGCCGAAAAGAAAUUAGGAACCGCCAUAUUACGAAAUACAUAAAUUUCAAUUAGGUAAUUGCAACUCAAAAAGAAGUGAAGUGAUUGUGCCAACCAUGCGAUGUAAAUCAGAUAUAAUUGGAUACCUACCUGUAAAAGUGACGUCACUUUUUAAAACUUGAUUGACUUCUGAGUUGACAAAUUCCACGAUUUACCUACGACAACGUCUUCGGCAGAUAUUCAAUUGGAGAAAAGUUGUUAUUUAAAAG